rnacentral:misc_RNA from 1 species
CCUUUCUCCUUUCUCUACCAUAGUAACGACCUCGAAGAUGUCAUCACCAGCGGCAGCGCCGGCAACGGUCUUUGCCCGGUACCCGGCAGCCCUCGCCUUGCCCACGGCGGAUCCGAACGCGCUCGCCGUGGAGACGAUGCUCCGCUGUGCGGAGGUGCGCUACACGCGCGCUGACGCCCGCCUUGGGGACCUUUCCUUGACGAUCUCGCCGGCGGCCUCUUUCUCUUCCGCCGCUGCGGCGACGAGCAGCACCAGCGCCGCCAAAGCCAAGUCGGAGGUGUGCGCGGGCCUCAUGUCUUGUCUCAGGCGUCUUGGCGGCGAGAGUGCCUUUGACGCGGUGCCUAGCACGCAUGCUGCCACGGCCGUGUGCGUCGAAGUACUGACGGUACAGUGCCUCUUUCCCGCCUUUCUCUUCUACACGCACUUCGACCCCGCCCUCUACAAGGCGGCGAUGCGCAGGAGCGUCGAGCCGAAAGUGGCGACCUUCUGGGAGUGGAUGCGGGGGACGUAUCGUGCGCACAUUUUGAGGGAGAAUCCGUUCUUUUACUCCGGCACCGCUGCUGCCGAGGUGCCGCGCGGGAAGCUUUCGCUGACGUCCCUCGCCAAGCUCAAGGAAGUGGGUGAGGGGGUGGACAAGGCCUUCGCCGUGCUGGAGUCGUUGCGGAAGACGGCAACCUCCGCAGGUAUCGAAGCGGGCAAUGUGUUCUUCUUGGGCACCUCCCGGCCCACGUAUAUCGAUGCGCUCGUGUACGCGGCCGCAUCGAGUUUCGUGCAUGCUGAUUUGAGAGAGGCCGCCGAGGGUGUCAAGGGCCACCAGCGACGUGUGCAGGACGCGUGCCCAGCACUCCUCGAGUACGUGGAGGGGAUGCGUCGCCAGUUCUUUGAGGCAGACAGCGGGACAUACUGCCUGAAGCCGUGCGAGGCGGCAGCGGAUGUAGACCCGCAUGGGGCCAUGGCCCACGAAGCUGAACGGCAGUACCGCAGUGGGCGGCUGCCGACGCUGUGGUGGACGGGUUUGUUUGCCAGUGUCUACUUCCUGCUGGUCAACGCGGACAUGCUGGUGGCGCUGCUGGAGCAGGCUGAAGAGGAGAGCGAGGAGGUGGCGGCGGUGGAAGCCGCUGCUGGUGCCGCUGGCGGUACGGCAAGCCAGCAGAGCUCGCCGUCUUCGGCUUCCGUGUGAUUGCACGAGCCGCGAGACCUGUCGCCCUGAUUCGACAACUCUCGCAUGCCAUCGCUUCCCCUUUUGCCCUCUCUCUCUCACACACAUACUUAAUGACCGCACCGAGAGCCGCUUGAUGAUGGCGCGUUUUCUUCGUCUGUUGCAGUCGUGGGCCCGUGCUCAUGCGUGGGUCUGCUUGUGUGUUUGUGUGUGCCAUUGCCCAUUGUGUGAUCCGUCUUCACUCCGAGGAGGAGCGUGCUGUGCCGCACUGUAUCGUCCAAGAGUAUCAGCGCUUACCGGGAGCAAUACAGUGCACAAAGACUGCAGACCGAAAAAAAAAACAACGUGAGGAAGAGGGAGGGAAGAGCGCCAGACAAAACAAGCCCAGGCACCAAUGCGUACAGCGCCGCACGAGGCGAGGGCGGUUCGAAGAACGCUGAAGAAACAUGUGCGCGUAUGUCUGUGCGUCGCGUCGUUUUGUGCAGCGACAUCCGCGACGCCAAGCGCAACUUGCCCGUCCCUUCGCUCGCGCAGGAGAACACACACACACAC